ACCCCAAUUAUAAAGUCUUAACCUUUUUUUAGAA
rnacentral:tRNA from 1 species